GAGUAAACUGGCGAACGGGUGAGUAACACGUAGAUAACCUGCCCUCAAGACUGGGAUAACACUGCUAACGCGGUGCUAAUACCGGAUGACGCAACAAGGCCGCAUGGUCGAGUUGUUAAAGUUGGCUUUGGCUAACACUUGAGGAUGGAUCUGCGCCCCAUUAGCUGGUUGGUGAGGUAGUGGCUCACCAAGGCAACGAUGGGUAGCCGGCCUGAGAGGGUGAUCGGCCACACUGGGACUGAGAUACGGCCCAGACUCCUACGGGAGGCAGCAGUGAGGAAUAUUGCGCAAUGGCAGAAAUGCUGACGCAGCAACGCCGCGUGAGGGAUGAAGCAUCUAGGUGUGUAAACCUCUGUUAGGAGGGACGAAACCGCUUGUAUCGAACAGGUACAGGCCUUGACGGUACCUCCAGAGAAAGCCCCGGCUAACUCCGUGCCAGCAGCCGCGGUAACACGGGGGGGGCAAGCGUUGUCCGGAAUUAUUGGGCGUAAAGGGCGCGCAGGCGGGAUAAUCAGUCUGGGGUGAAAACUUGCAGCUUAACUGCGAGCUUGCCCUGGAUACUGUUAUUCUUGAGUUCGGAAGAGGGAAGUGGAAUUCCUGGUGUAGCGGUGAAAUGCGUAGAUAUCAGGAAGAACACCGGUGGCGAAGGCGGCUUCCUGGUCCGAUACUGACGCUGAGGCGCGAAAGCGUGGGGAGCAAACAGGAUUAGAUACCCUGGUAGUCCACGCUGUAAACGAUGGGUACUAGGUGUUGGCUCGCUUGUGGGUCAGCGCCGCAGCUAACGCAUUAAGUACCCCGCCUGGGGAGUACGAACGCAAGUUUGAAACUCAAAGGAAUUGACGGGGGCCCGCACAAGCGGUGGAGCAUGUGGUUUAAUUCGAUGCAACGCGAAGAACCUUACCUGGGCUUGAACUGCAGUUGAUCGCUCCUGAAAGGGAGUUUUCCUUCGGGACAGCUGUAGAGGUGCU
rnacentral:rRNA from 1 species